CGUCUGGAAAGGCGCGCGAUACAGGGUGACAGCCCCGUACACAAAAAUGCACAUGCUGUGAGCUCGAUGAGUAGGGCGGGACACGUGGUAUCCUGUCUGAAUAUGGGGGGACCAUCCUCCAAGGCUAAAUACUCCUGACUGACCGAUAGUGAACCAGUACCGUGAGGGAAAGGCGAAAAGAACCCCGGCGAGGGGAGUGAAAAAGAACCUGAAACCGUGUACG
rnacentral:rRNA from 1 species